GAGGAAGGUUUGAGGGCAAAUGAAUUGCCAAUCCAGUCAGAUCUGAAAAGAAGCAGCUGUAACAAUAUUAUUUGGGUCUCAACCUUCCUUUGA
rnacentral:SRP_RNA from 1 species